GCCCCUUUUCUGUUCCCUCCUUCUUUCUUUAACCUCAUUUUCGAUCCAAAGCUGAAUGUCGCAUUUAUGUGCGCAAUGACUUAACCUGCUCUCGUGCCCACGCUCUUGAAUCUUCCAAGUUUUCCACCAUCUGGCUACAACUACAGAGUCACUCUCAAAAUAAAUUUAUCUGUGCUGUAUACCUCUAACCUAACUAUAAGAAAUUAGACUAUAAGAAAUUCUUUGAAUACUUAACUUUUUUUUUUUAAAGUGGAGCACAUUCUGAACCUCUUUUCUUUUGCAGAGAUCUCCAUUCUUGGAGACUUUAAUGUUCACCACCAGCUUUGGCUUUCCUCUCCCUUCACUGACCAUCCUGGUUAACUAGCCUUCAACUUUGCUAUCCUCCACGACCUAGAGCAAUUGGUGCAACACCCUACUCGUAUUCCUGACAGAUACGCCUGGAGAUACACCUAACAUUCUUGACCUUUUCCUGACCUCUAAUCUUUCUGCUUAUGCUGUCACCCUCUCUUCUCCGUUGAGCUCCUCCAAUCACAAUCUCAUAUCUGUAUCUUAACCUGUCACUUCAAUCCCUCCUCAGGAUCUUCCUAAGGGAAGGUGCCUCUGGCGUUUUGCCUCUGCUAGUUGGGGGGACCUGAGGAGGUAUUUUGCUGAUUUUCCUUGGAAUGACUACUGCUUUCGUGUUAGAGACCCGUCUUUGUGUGCUAAGCGCAUAACAGAGGUGAUAGUGUCUGGCAUGGAGGCGUGCAUUCCUCACUCUUUUUCUCAUCCUAAACCUUCUAAACCUUGGUUUAACACAGCUUGUUCUCGUGCUAUACAUGAUAGAGAGGUGGCCCACAAAAGGUACUUUAUGGACCUGAUGGGGUCCCUCCCAUCAGCUGCUGCUGCUGCUGCCUUCCCAGGCUUUAUGGCCGUGUUGGCGUGGUGCACUGCGUGGGACUUGUGUCCGUGCUUGUGUUUUCUGGUCUCCCUCCAUGUCAAGUGACAAACAGAGAAGGGAAACAAGAGGCAUGCAGACCAAUUCAGAAGGUGGAAUGGAAAAAGAAACUGCAAGAAUGGGACAGCUUCGAGUUGUUCAGGGGAGGCCCGGCGGUGGAGCAGACGGGGCAGACUCUCUCCAUCACUGUGGUGCAAGGAAGGACCGCCACAGUGCUGGAGGUGGAGCACACUGGGGUGGACUUUGCCAUACUCUGACAGAACCCCUAUGCCAGCGUUGGAUG